UUUUUAAAGGUUAAAUUUUUAAAAAAUAUAAAAAUUUUAAACUAAUUAUUUAAAAAUGUAAAAUUUAAAACAGGAAUUAGAUACUCAAUUAUUUUACAUUAUAUUAUAAAUUUAGUUAAACUAAAAUAAUUUGGCAGCUAAUUAAUCCUUACUGGGGAUGGUGUAUAGUAAAAGAUAUUCCGCUUUUGAAUUAACCUAUAAAAAUUAGUUGGUGUACGUCCGGUUAAAUAUUAAUAAUUAAAUUUUAUUGUUAGUGUAAGCUUUAAAUAGCUUAAGCUAGGUCAAUGUGCUACUUAUAUGUGGGUUUAUAUUCCAUACUUUUAUAAUAUAUUGAUUUGUAAUAUUCAAAAUUAAGGACUAGUUAGUAAAUUAAUUUAUUUU
rnacentral:rRNA from 1 species